rnacentral:ribozyme from 1 species
AUUGCACUGCGCUGGUGCGCAUGCACGUACGCACCUACGUGAGUGUGCAAGGUGUGCAGGUGUAC